AAGUCGUAACAAGGUUUCCGUAGGUGAACCUGCGGAAGGAUCAUUAAAAAAUGUAACCGGACCGGUACGUCGGAGGUGAGAGCCCACGGCGGAUUGGGAAGGGGAUAUCAUACACCCUGUGUUUAUUUUACCUUUGUUGCUUUGGCGGGCCGUCCGUAAGGCGUCGGCCCCGGCUGACCGCGCCCGCCAGAGGACCCAAACUCUUUUAUCAGUGAUGUCUGAGUACUAUAUAAUAGUUAAAA
rnacentral:misc_RNA from 1 species